rnacentral:rRNA from 1 species
AUUGAACGCUGGCGGCAGGCCUAACACAUGCAAGUCGAGCGGAUGAAGGGAGCUUGCUCCUGGAUUCAGCGGCGGACGGGUGAGUAAUGCCUAGGAAUCUGCCUGGUAGUGGGGGAUAACGUCCGGAAACGGGCGCUAAUACCGCAUACGUCCUGAGGGAGAAAGUGGGGGAUCUUCGGACCUCACGCUAUCAGAUGAGCCUAGGUCGGAGUAGCUAGUUGGUGGGGUAAAGGCCUACCAAGGCGACGAUCCGUAACUGGUCUGAGAGGAUGAUCAGUCACACUGGAACUGAGACACGGUCCAGAGUACUACGGGAGGCAGCAGUGGGGAAUAUUGGACAAUGGGCGAAAGCCUUAUCCAGCCAGGCCGCGUGUGUGAAGAAGGUCUUCGGAUUGUAAAGCACUUUAAGGUGGGAGGAAGGGCAGUAAGUUAAUACCUUGCUGUUUUGACGUUACCAACAGAAUAAGCACCGGCUAACUUCGUG